rnacentral:rRNA from 1 species
UACAGAGGUCCCAAGCGUUGUUCGGAUUCACUGGGCGUAAAGGGUGCGCAGGUGGGCUGGUAAGUUCGAUGUGAAAGCCCCGGGCUUAACCCGGGAAAGGCAUUGGAUACUACUGGUCUGGAGGAUUGGAGGGGGGACUGGAAUUCUUGGUGUGAGCAGUGAAAUGCGUAGAUAUCAAGAGGAACACCAGUGGCGAAGGCGAGUCCCUGGACAAUACCUGACACUGAGGCACGAAAGCCAAGGGAGCAAACAGG